GCAAGUCGAACGGUAGGAAAUGCUUGCAUUUCCGAGAGUGGCGAACGGGUGAGUAACACGUAAGUGAUCUGCCCUGGGAUUGGGGAUAGCUCAUGGAAACAUGGGGUAAUACCGAAUAAUCUCGUUGAGUUUGAAGACUUAAUGAGGAAAAGAGCUACGGCUCUGUCCUGGGAUGAGCUUGCGGUCCAUUAGCUAGUUGGUGGGGUAAGAGCCUACCAAGGCAACGAUGGAUAGCCGGCCUGAGAGGGUGACC
rnacentral:rRNA from 1 species